UACGAACCGUACGAACGUUAUUCGGAAUCACUGGGCUUAAAGGGUGCGUAGGCGGCGCGACAAGUUGGGUGUGAAAUCCCUCGGCUCAACCGAGGAACUGCGCCCAAAACUGUCGUGCUCGAGGGAGACAGAGGUGAGCGGAACUUAGGGUGGAGCGGUGAAAUGCGUAGAUAUCAGGAGGAAUACCGGUGGUGUAGACGGCUCUCUGGACCGUAACUGACGCUGAGACACGAAAGCGUGGGUAGCAAACAGG
rnacentral:rRNA from 1 species